ensembl:snoRNA
CCCCACAUUACCAUGGGAACAGUCUUCUGUGACUGUUGCCCUUCCUAGGUGUGGGAAAGCAAUGCCUUGCUUCUCCAAAAUUUCUUGUGAUGCUGCUGUCAUCAUAGAAACAUGAAAGCAGGACACAUACUUGCAUGAUUUUUUUUU